GGAGGGGUACCGAAGUGGCCGUACCGGGCUCGACUCGAAAUCGAGUUGGGGCUUCACCGCCCCACGAGGGUUCGAAUCCCUCUCCCUCCGCCA
rnacentral:tRNA from 1 species